rnacentral:lncRNA from 1 species
UUCUACAGAUGUUUUUCAUCAGGAACACAACAUUUUUGGUGCAAGCUUAAUGGCAGAACCGGAUGGCGCCUUCGCCAGAGUCAAGACAUAUUUUGGAGUUUGCCACAAUCUCCAACUCUACCUACACACCAUUGCAGCACAAUCCUUUGUCCCCGAGCACCUGCUCAAGCUCUCGGCCCAACCGCUCCAAACCCCCGCGUUCAAAGAGGCGAUGGAGAUCCUUAACAAGAGAUACGGGGAGGAGGGCAUGGAAGCCUUGGCUCCAUUCUACAAGGAUUUGGCGUACCUGGAAGAGGUUGCAACCAUGAAAGAAGCAGCCCCAAAAUUCAAGAAGGCCAGGCUUGAACUUGAACCCUCCCCAUUUGAUGCAAGAGACUGUGCUUUGCUCAACAAGCAAGCUGACAUCCUCAAGGAGGAGUUUGGAGUUCCAGUGUCAUGGGUACUGCCGCCAAACAAGGAUAUGAAGCUGGAAGAUGGGAAAUGGCUUCCUCGAUCGAAGAGGAUUGAUGAUAUCCCUGAACCCGACAACCCGGAAUACAACUGAAGUACCAAAUCGAUGCAUGCUGUGAAGAUAAGAAUUAAUCCUCAGCAUGUUGUGCACGCUUGCAAAUGCUCUGAUCUGGAAACCAAGUGAUCAAGUUUUAAAACAAAAAUGGAACCAAAUGGUCGCUGUCGUGCUCGCUGUCGCCAAAGCUACGUGAAAUUGAUCAUGAAAGAAUCUCCUUCCAGGGAGAAAAAUCUGGUCUCGGCCAAUCGGACUCCGAACGCUAGCACCUGCCCAUUGCAAUUGCCGAUCUUCAGUUGCUCAACUCCUGCUGAGAGAGAUAAAGAACCUGGUUUUCUCGGGACGAAAAGGCUUUUUGCACAGACGCCGGACUCAAGUACAUUAUCGCUAUUGCAAUAACUCAUUCCCACCCGCCUAUCCUCUUAUGCUCAAUCUGAUAGGCAUUGAUUUGAACUAUGGGAUGCUAAGUAGUGAUUGAU